AGAUUAAGUUAUUAAGGRCGCACGGUGGAUGCCUUGGCACUAGAAGCCGAUGAAGGACGUUACUAACGACGAUAUGCUUUGGGGAGCUGUAAGUAAGCUUUGAUCCAGAGAUUUCCGAAUGGGGAAACCCAGCAUGAGUUAUGUCAUGUUAUCGAUAUGUGAAUACAUAGCAUAUCAGAAGGCACACCCGGAGAACUGAAACAUCUUAUUACCCGGAGGAAGAGAAAGAAAAUUCGAUUCCCUUAGAAGCGGCGAGCGAAACGGGAAGAGCCCAAACCCACAAGCUUGCUUGUUGGGGUUGUAGGACACUCUAUACGGAGAUCCACAGGACGACAUUAGACGAAACAUCCGCAAAGAUGAAUCAAAGAAGGUAAUAAUCCUGUA
rnacentral:rRNA from 1 species